UACGAAGGGGGCUAGCGUUGCUCGGAAUCACUGGGCGUAAAGCGCACGUAGGCGGAUCUUAAGUCGGUGGUGAAAGCUCGGAGCUCAACUCCAGAACUGCCUUCGAUACUGAGAGUCUUGAGUCCGGGAGAGGUGAGUGGAACUGCGAGUGUAGAGGUGAAAUUCGUAGAUAUUCGCAAGAACACCAGUGGCGAAGGCGGCUCACUGGCCCGGUACUGACGCUGAGGUGCGAAAGCGUGGGGAGCAAACAGG
rnacentral:rRNA from 1 species